rnacentral:rRNA from 1 species
UGGGGAAUAUUGCACAAUGGGCGAAAGCUUGAUGCAGCGACGCCGCGUGGAGGAUGAAGGUUUUCGGAUUGUAAACUCCUGUUAAACGGGAAGAAAGACUCAUGGCUAAUAUCCAUGAGGGAUGACGGUACCGUUAGAGAAAGCACCGGCAAACUUCGUGCCAGCAGCCGCGGUAAUACGAAGGGUGCGAGCGUUAUUCGGAAUGACUGGGCGUAAAGAGCGUGGAGGCGGUUUAGUAAGUCAGCUGUUAAAGAACCCGGCUUAACUGGGUACAGGCGGUUGAAACUGCUAGACUAGAGUGCAGGAGAGAAGGGUGGAAUUCUCGGAGUAGCGGUAAAAUGCGUAGAUCUCGAGAGGAACACCGGUUGCGAAGGCGGCUCUUUGGCCUGUAACUGACGCUUAAGCGCGAAAGCGUGGGGAGCAAACAGG